rnacentral:rRNA from 1 species
UUAACGGCUGCGGUAUUUUGACCGUGCUAAGGUAGCAUAAUCAAUUGUUUUUUAAUUGAAAACUAGUAUGAACGGUUUAAUUUACUUAAUUAGUUUGUAAUUUUUAAUAGUAAGUUAAAUAUAAAGUAAGAAUUCUUUAAUAAAUUAGGGGACGAUAAGACCCUAAAAGCUUUAUGAUUGGCAUUUAAUUGGUGAUAGCGGUGUUAUUAAUUCACUGGGGCAGUGAGUUUAGGUAUAUUUAAGUAUAAUUAAAAGCUCCUUUAAAUAAAGAUUUCAUGUAUAAGUUACUUUAGGGAUAACAGUGCAAUAUAUU